CUUGGCUCAGUCGGUAGAGCGUCAGUCUCAUAAUCUGAAGGUCGUGAGUUCGAACCUCACAG
rnacentral:tRNA from 1 species